AUCAAGCCAUGCUGUGGCGGCAUCCCACAUACAAAAUAGAGGAGGAUUGGCACAGAUGUCAGCUCAGUGACAAUCUUCCUCGAGCAAAAAGAGGAAGAUUGGCAACAGAUGUUAGCUCAGGGCCAAUCUUCCUCACCAAAAAAAAAAAAAAAAAAAGGAGGAAGUGUAGUCAGGACAGCACGGCAUUGACCUCAAUGCAGAGCCCUUCUGAGGGCUGGCCCUGUGUGACCGCAGGAUCAUCCACCAGAGCAGCUGCCCUGCUCUCAGCACCCCUCCGUCCUCUCAGAGUCCUGGGGCAGAACCCUCUGUGCAAUGCACUGACCCUAGAGCGGCUGUUAGCCUGUCCUCCCUGGCUGGUGAGGCCGGACUUACAGACUCACAUGUGAGCCCUCUGGGAAAUCGGGGCUCAACAAAGAGCUUCAAAGUGCCGGGCCCUGCCUGAGCUGCCGCCUGCUCUGGGCUGCUGUCCCGAUUGCCAACUCUCGCUCUCCAGUGGCUCAUUGUGGGCUCCCAGUUCGAGGACAUCCGAGAUGCCCUCAUCUGGCUGCUUUGUCAUUUACCGCCUGGCUGAGGCCCAUAGUCAGGCCGGCUGCCCCCUCAGGAGCUUCAGGGCCCGGAGCAGCCGCCUGUGCCGGGGCAGUGCCCCUCUCCCCUCCUGGGCCACCCUCCUGGGCGCUGAACUGACCCCGCAGCAAGCCUGGGCACGGAGCUGCACAUGGUCACCCCUGCAGCCACUGCACCGUGAGGAACAGGCCAGUUUGCAGGGGCCAGGCCUCUGCAAGACCCGAGAGGAGGGGCCAGUCCUGGAGGCCCUACCCUUCUGGGCAUCCUCCCCCCGGGGGACCUGGGACUCCACAUCAGGGCCAUUUGGGGCCUGAGCCUUGGCCCAGGACACUGCAUUCUCUUAGGGCUUCAUCCUUGCCCGUGCGUGACAGAGAAUAGACAGGAGCCUGCAAGACGGGGUCACUGAGGCCGUGUGCCGGCUGGGAGACGCAGAGAUGACAGAGCAGAGGCAACAUGGCAGGGACGAGCUCCCCCAACUGGCACCUUUGCCUGGCAAUUCUUUGUGCUCCUGGGGGUACUGGGCACAAAGACCCGUGCACCCACGCCUUUGGUGCCGGGACUCUGCAGCACCUCCCGUCAGGAAGGGGUGAGUCUGUCUGUCUCUGGCAUCUGGACCAGCCUGUGACUUGCUCUGACCAACAGAACGUGGUGGGAGUGGCACGGGGCCGAUUCUGAGCCAGGCCUGCUGCCCAGGCUCCCCCACACCCGCAGCACGGCCUGGCGGCCUGCUGGGGCACGAUGGGCUGUGACGUCCCGGCGAGCGCCGGAGACGGGAGAGCGGAGGCCCGAUCGGCAGAGCCCUCUCCCAGACCCGCAGCUGAUGGUGGACGCAGGAGCCCGGCCAGCCCAGAGGCCACCAGGUUGAGCCCAGCCUCGCGGCCCCUGCAGACUCGGCCAUUGUUCUAAGCCCCGUGCUCUGGGGUGUUGGUUACGCAGAGGUGCUGAUGGCCACGGGGCCUGGCAGCGAAGGGGCAGCUGUGCACGCAGCCACUGUGUUUCUCUCUUUCCUCCAGAGGAGGUUCUGCCCCCGAGAAGCUCUGCUCAGGGCCCCUUCCUGGGAGCCUGUCCUGAGCAAGGAGCCUGCGGGGCGGAGGCCACCAGGUGUCACGGAAGGAGCCAGUGUGCCAACCACUGCUUCACUGCGUCAUGCACUCACUCCCCAAGGCUUCUGCAGGGGCCCUGGGGAGGCCCAGGCCACAGGGCAGGGUCACGCCUUCCAGUAGCUUCCAGUCCGAUGGCGGAGAUAGACAAGGAAACAGAUGAGGCCACGUGGCGUCUUCUCGAGUCAAACCAGGGGCACCUCCUGUGGGACGGAAACUGUGCUCGGCCCCGGGGUGAGAAGGGCAACCAGACGCAGUUGCGGACCUGGAAGAGAUCAUCGUCUAGCAGAAGAGAUGGUGCAGGCAGGGGCCACAGCUCCGCUUCUGGGCAAACCCAACCGGACGCGGCAGCCACGUGCGCAAACCCAGACGGCGCUGCGGGGGUCUCCUGGGCGGGCGAGGCCAGGUGGCAGGACGCACAAGCCCGGCCCGGGGUUUGGGCCUUCAGCCCAACCUUCGCCAGCCCUGGGAUCUCAGGAAAGCCUCGAUGAGGGGACGGUGUCCUGCCUCCUCCCGUGAUGAGGUAAGGACCACCAUGCCCGAGACCCCGCACCAGGAGAGGGGCACGUGGACUUCACUCACGCCCUGUGCUCACGGGCAGAGCCGACGUCAGGAUUGAAAGGAAGAACCUCGCCCGCCUCACCUGGCUCACGGUGCUCUGGGGCAGAAAGGCAGGUAGCCAGCCACCCCAGCCCCCAGCGGGGUGACCCCAGGCCAGUGAGGGACAGUUCAGAACGAGAAGGCUCCCUUCUCAGCAGGAGGACCCCGGGAAGCCACCUCCUGCAGCCGCUGCAGAGACCAUGCAAGUCUAAUCUGGAGAAUUCUCUGAGCCCGCCAAUGCCUGCCCUGCCAUCCCCAGCUCCCUCCCUCCCUUGCCCCUGCCUGGCCAAGCUCAAAGGGGCGGGGUGGGGGUGGCCCUGUUGCUCUAAUAGAAAUCGCUUUCCGCCAGACAGCACUGUCACAGUACACAAAGUUGUGCUCUUGAAGGAAACAGGGCCGGACGAGCCCGCCUAUUUCACAGAAGUAAUCCCAAGCCCCAAGUGCUCAAUCCUGACCGGGUACCAGUAACUGCAGCCAGCGCUACACCCGGCAUCGCUUGUAUGGCUCACACGGCCUUGCCAGCGGGAACAGCAGGGCCGGCUACGUCAUUUGUGGGGUCCGGUGCAAAACGAAAAUGGAGGGCCCUUCUUCCAAAAUGAGGAGGCCCCUGAACGCAGGGCCCUGUGUGACCCGGGGGCUGG
rnacentral:lncRNA from 1 species